AAGGACUGUGUUGGUAAGGUUAUACUAGUUCUUUGUCCUGUUAGUCCUUAGGUCUCCUUGCUGGGAUGAUCCUGUGUUCAGAAUUGUUAUUCUGAAUUACCAGGGCAGUGGAGAUGGUAAACAAGCAGUUAUUAUAGCACCUAGAAUUUAGUGAAAAUUUGAGGAACUCUAACUGUUCUUUGCAGCUCAGGGACAAGCAUUUGCAUACAGGCUCCCUGCCUGACUGGCUGAAAGUCAGGCUCCGUAUGAGAACAAGAGGCUCCGCUGAGUUUCUCUCAGCUAUGCUGAGGAGGAGCUAACGUCUCUCCUUUGAAGACAAACAACUAGUCUCAACUGCAUCCAACAAAGAUUAGAAGAACCUGUGUGACAUCCUGUGUUUCUUACUUGCAAAAAUUAGAGAUACACAUUUGCAAAGGACAAGGAGAAUGGUCAACUAUGACAAUGCAAGGCAUCAUUAUACAGAGUCUGAAAGACACCUGUUUAAUGUGACUAGACUGAGCAAAGAAUGAGCAGAGGUAUGAAAAUUUUCCUUCAUGAAAAAUAGGUUACAUGAGUCUCCACCCUGAAAAGUGGGACAAAUGGGGACAUGAGGCCAGA